CACGUUUUUGUAAAGAAACAAGGUCCAAAUUACCAUUUUGCACCCACGUUUUUGUAAAGAAACAAGGCUCCGACUGUUGUGGCUGCAACACCGGCUGCGGUUGUGGCGGAUGGACCGAGGAAGGUUGUUUCGACGCCGUAUGCGAAGAAGCUGGCGAAACAGCAUAAGGUUGAUAUUAUUAAGAUUGUUAAGACUGGGCCAUCUGAGAGGAUUACUGCAGCUGAUGUGGAAGCUGCUGCAGGAAUCGCGCCUUCGGAAGAAAGGAAGCACUAAUAAUAUAUGUGAUUAGUUGUGUUUCUUUGCUCCUUUCUUUACAUUUGCUUGACUACAAUGUACCUAGAGUUACCAAUUGCUUAAAGGUGCAGAAUUGAUCGAUGAUGAGGUUUUCCUUGCACCUGCCCUUGGUUGGUGCAUAAAGCAAAUAAACUAUAUUUAGUUUUUGUCAUGACAGUGAGUGGAAAGACACAUGUAUAUUUCAAUGGGAUGCUAUACCAAAUUUCCAGUUCUGGUACAGCCAGUAGGCAACUAUUAUGGCCUGUGUUAUUAAGAGGUACAAGUUCAAAAACUGGGAUGAUCUUUUACCUGAUAUUCAGUCAAUUUCUAAACAUGUUUGAGGUACUUUCAACAUAUAUGGUUUAGCAUUUACCAAUUACUAUAAUUAAAAAAAAUUGUAAUCAUGGAUGUUUACAAUACUUUUAGUCAGGGAUGAAUCAAGCCGGGCUGGGUUGGGUUAACUACAAACACUUUUUUAUCCGUUUGUUUAAAUAAUGGAUGUGCUAUUUAUGGUUCCAAAAUUUAUAUUAGAAUAAUGAUCUAAAUUGUUAAAACAAAAACGAUUUUCAAGGUUGUAUGGCAUUCUUUAUUGUGUUCUUGAGAACUAAAUCAUCAAAUCAAUCUAUAUGUUUAUUGAAAUAAUGUUAGAAUGAGAUUAUUACUCAAAUUAGAUUAUAAGAGGCGGGAAGAAGAUAUACAGAAAUGGACAAAGAUAAGAAGAGACGUGGUUCAAGUUUCUUUUCAUGGCUCCACGUACAUAUUAGACGAGUUUAACUAUCUUAAUGCUUCUAAGCUAGAUGGAUCAAGAAACCCGUCCAACUGUACUUAACCUAAAGAUGUUUCUUUUUUUUUUUUUUUGCGUCAGGAAGUCGUUGAGCUUGUACAUAGGGCACAUUUGCUUUGUUUAAUUAAACGAGGACGAUUGAUUGAUAGCCUUUGUCAUGAUAUACAGGACCAGUCACUUUCAAGUUAAACCAGUUUGGAAGUGAAUUCGCCAAAGGACCAAUUCCUUCAGACCCAUUUUGGUAUUCAAUUUGUAUUUUUUUAAACUUUUUAUCUGAAUUUUUACUUGAGCUUUGACUCAACAAAAUCAAGGAUUUUAGGAGCUUAAUUAGACUA